NNNNNAAAAAUUAGGAGCUAUUUAUAGGAGGUACAGCUCCUUUAAAAAAGAACACAGUCUCUGCCAGAGGGUAAACUAUUUUCCCACCCCACAUNUAGGCCUCCAAGCAGCCACCAAUAAAGAGUGCGUCAAAGCUCUCUACCCCAAAGAUCCAAAAACAUCGUGACCCCCUCACCCUUAACAGGCUAACCUAUGACUAUAGGAGUAUUAAUGCUAGAAUGAGUAAUUGGAAGCCCCUUCUCUUAAGCGCCAGCUUACAUUAUAUAUUAUUAACAGACCCACUCAUACCGCUACCAUAACAAGACCCAAUAUUAUAAUACCCUGUUAACCCGACUCAGGAGCGCUUUCUAGAAAGAUUAAAAUCUGCAAAAGGAACUAGGCAAAUCAAGGGCCCGACUGUUUACCAAAAACAUAGCCUUCAGCCAACAACAAGUAUUGAAGGUGAUGCCUGCCCAGUGACUCACGUUCAACGGCCGCGGUAUCCUAACCGUGCAAAGGUAGCGCAAUCAAUUGUCCCAUAAAUCGAGACUUGUAUGAAUGGCUAAACGAGGUCCUAACUGUCUCUUUCAGAUAAUCAGUGAAAUUGAUCUUCCUGUGCAAAAGCAGGAAUACGAACAUAAGACGAGAAGACCCUGUGGAACUUAAAAAUCAAGGGCCAACGCAUUAACCCACCUACCCAUUGGGCUUACUCCUCUGCGACACUGGCCCUCAUUUUUCGGUUGGGGCGACCUUGGAGAAAAAAGAAUCCUCCAAAAACAAGACCACAAAUCUUAACCUAGAGCCACAUCUCGAAGUGCAAACAGUACCCAGACCCAAUACAAUUGAUUAAUGAACCAAGCUACCCCAGGGAUAACAGCGCAAUCUCCUUCAAGAGCCCCUAUCGACAAGGAGGUUUACGACCUCGAUGUUGGAUCAGGACAUCCUAAUGGUGCAGCCGCUAUUAAGGGUUCGUUUGUUCAACGAUUAACAGUCCUACGUGAUCUGAGUUCAGACCGGAGCAAUCCAGGUCGGUUUCUAUCUAUGACACACUCUUCCUAGUACGAAAGGACCGGAAAAGUGAGGCCAAUACCAACCAGCACGCCUCCUCUCUAAUUAGUGAAGCCAGCUAAACUAAGAAGAGAACUCACCCGACCCCAUACCCUAGAAAAGGGCUAGCUAGAGUGGCAGAGCUCGGUAAAUGCAG
rnacentral:rRNA from 1 species